GAACGAAAAAGCAGCAAAGCUGCGCAUAAUAACGAAGAAGGAGAUACGCACAAAGCUGCGCAGCUAAUACACACAAGAGACCCCUUCCCCAUCGGUUCUGUUUUCUUCUUCCCCUUUCACCAUGGACAAGAAAAAACAAUAGAACUCCUCAUCUCAUCCACACCCCAAGCAACUAAAAUCAGCUGCGGAACACAGCAGCCCUCCACCGUUCAGCUCCUGGACAACCAAACACACCCUAAGAGACCACCGAUCUCCAGCCAUCUCCCUCACCAAUGACCCCUGAACUCACUCUUGGAGAAGACGAUUAGCUGGGCUCUUCAAAUUUCGUGAUUGACUUUAGAAAUUGAACAUUGGAGUUUGUUCAUACAGAGAACUUCGACCUCUGUUCGAUUCUCGCUACUGAUGGAGUUCGAUUGAUUUUGAGGUCGUCGCCGAUCGAGGCCCAUUCAUGGCGGCCUAAUUUGCAGUGCUGAAAUAUUCAUAGGAGGUGCUAAAGGUCCUGUUGAUAAGGGUUAACAUAAACAAGACCAUGCAGUUUUGACCUACAUGUGGUUAUUAGCUCAACCAUCAUGGGUGAAGCUGUUUGCCAAGUUUGUCGUGAUACCUUUUGAUGCAAAAUUGCAAACAGUUUCGAGUUUUUCCACUUUAAAGCUGUAAAAAUGUUAAAUUACUUUAGAGAUG